rnacentral:rRNA from 1 species
AGAGUUUGAUCCUGGCUCAGAACGAACGCUGGCGGCAUGCCUAACACAUGCAAGUCGAACGGUGCCUUCGGGCACAGUGGCGCACGGGUGAGUAACACGUGGGAACCUGCCUUUCGGUUCGGAACAACGUCUGGAAACGGACGCUAACGCCGGAUACGCCCAUCCAGCGAUGGAUGGGGAAAGUUUACGCCGAGAGAGGGGCCCGCGCCGGAUUAGGUAGUUGGUGGGGUAACGGCCUACCAAGCCGACGAUCCGUAGCUGGUCUGAGAGGAUGAUCAGCCACACUGGGACUGAGACACGGCCCAGACUCCUACGGGAGGCAGCAGUGGGGAAUAUUGGACAAUGGGCGCAAGCCUGAUCCAGCAAUGCCGCGUGAGUGAUGAAGGCCUUAGGGUUGUAAAGCUCUUUCGCACGCGACGAUGAUGACGGUAGCGUGAGAAGAAGCCCCGGCUAACUUC